rnacentral:tRNA from 1 species
AGUAGUAUAAACAAUUACACUUACCUUCCAAGUAAAAAAUCUUUUUUUAAAGCU